CACGUAGGGGCCAAGCGUUGUCCGGAUUUAUUGGGCGUAAAGAGCUCGUAGGCGGUUGGGUAAGUUGGGUGUGAAAACUCCGGGCUCAACUCGGAGAGGCCACCCGAUACUGCCCUGACUCGAGUCCGGUAGGGGAGUGGGGAAUUCCUGGUGUAGCGGUGAAAUGCGCAGAUAUCAGGAGGAACACCGGUGGCGAAGGCGCCACUCUGGGCCGGUACUGACGCUGAGGAGCGAAAGCGUGGGUAGCAAACAGG
rnacentral:rRNA from 1 species